ACAUCCAGGUUACAAUUUCAGCGCUACAUGAUCGUGUGGUGUUUCGUGUACCAUUCGAUGGGUAACGUUGUUAUAGGCGUUCAUGGUUUUUUGUUGUUGUUUUUUUUCUCUCGUUACUAUUAUGGUAGGGUUUUCUCGCUGGUUGACCGACCGGAAUCCCACCCCCGGCCUCGCCGCUUCAGGGUCUCCUCAGCCCGCGGACUGUUGAUGUUACAGGGUCUUGGCUAUUUUUAUCCCUGUGGCGCUCUUUCACCCCCACCACCAUUUUUGACAGCAACACACUAAGGCUCACUUCACUUUCUGCAGCGGUGUAUGUGUGUGUGUGUGUGUGAGAGAGAGAGAGUGUGAGUGAGAGAGAGAGAGAGAGAGAGAGAAGGAUGCUCUUAAAAUAACCAAGUGAGUCGUGAUCAACUCGCCCUUGAAUAUCAUGCAUUGAGAGGUAAAAAAGGAAAAGGGAGACCAAAUCAGAUGAGGGAUUGUGGAUUGAUACAAAUAGUCCCUCGCACCAUUCGUGGCUCGAGUUUGAAUUAAUGUGUGGCUAUUUUUAGCUUGCGCGUGUUUCCAGGGGAAACCUAAUGACGCAAUGACGUCAAUGCAGGUCAAUAGCUGACUGGAGGAAUGGAGCGCUUCCAUUAGAUUUUGCAGUAUUUUCACACACGGAGAAAGAAGGAUAAAAUGGAUGUUUUUUUCCCCUUUUUUAAUAUCUGUGCUAUGCUGGUAUAGCAAAGAAACCUGUAAUGGCCAAGAUGAACUCCUCCUCACAAGGAAAAGAUGGCUGGCUGCUGUCUCCCUGUCAUGUCCUGUGAGUCUCUCUCAGCCUUUUUUGUUUGGCCCUGUCGGAUCUUUUUGCGGUCUGGGCUUGCUGUUCCUUAACCAAAUAGCCAGGAAGCCCUUACCCCAAAAAGUAUCUGCUGAGGACCCUUCCAUCCGAGAGGCCCUGGGACUGUCAGCUAGGCUCACGUCACGGAUGGAACUGAAACUCGCCAGUGGUGUGUGAUGUACGUGGCAAACACCCAUGCCUCACACACACAGAGGUGCAACACCCACGCCUACACAUGUUCUCUUUGAGACCCAUGCCAGGAGAUUUACACACAUGCAGACAUGCUUCAAAGCAUAUGCACAGAGAUGCAUCAAACCAAACUGGUGUGUCAGUCACCCACUGGUGAAACCACUAAAGCAAAAUCAGAGUGAGAGACUUGUUCAAAUUGGCAGAUUAAAUGACAGACAGUCUUUUUGAAAAUAUACACUCACAAAUGAUCUGCACAUUUUGCACGUUCCUUUGGUCAGACAGACACAGUGUCUCAUUUCACACAUUUCCACAAGUACUGAGUUAAUCUAAAGAUGUGGUUCAGGCUUGUCAUUCUUGACAAAAAUCAUUACUUACACGCUAUUAUUUUUUUUGUUUAGUUUUUUCCCCCUGAAGGCAACGAUGCCUAUCUGACCAUUACUCUGGCAUGAGGGACCAGGCCAGUGAAUAUAUUGAUGAGUCUGGGUGCAGGAGUGGAUGAAUGCCUGUGUGAGGAGGAGGUCCUGAAUCUAAUAGACCACUCCCUAUCAGGGUUUUCCCACUAACAGGCAUCAAGACUGUCUUGGCGUCUCAUAUCUACAUCUGUCUCUACAUUCAAUCUCCCUCUCCGUUACUGUCCAUGCAUUGAUGUAGAAGUUCCUUUUUUUUUUUUUAAAUCGUACUAAUAGUGUUAUUAUCGGUCACAUCUAAAUCAGCUUAAAUGUAAUUGAUGGUGAGCUCAUCAUUUAGACUGUGUUGUCUAAACAGGAAUGUACAGUAUGUGUGUUAAUACUGUCCUGCUACCUGAAACGGAUAGCAAUACAAAAACAGUCAGUUAUGGAUUCAUUAGUUAUUAUAUUUAAUUGCUGUGCUGUUUCCAUCGGGGUACUAUUAAGAUCUUCCUUUUUUCCCACAUAAUAACUUGGAAAACAUGAUAAGCCUCAUCCAUGCAGUGACACAUGUCAAAUGGGUUCCAUUUCUAUCCCAUUAU
ensembl:lncRNA